UUUAAUCAAGUGUAUUUCUGAGAGGCAUGUGAGUCCCAGCUGUGAAGGUCUAGAUUAUGGAGAGGCUUGGAUGAACAUGGAAUACUGAAAUCCUUCAGUGGGUUUGAAACCUCAGGUUUCAAGCUCACUGAAGGAUUUCAAGCUCACUGUCUAGGUCAGUGUUUACACUAGAUUAUUUUUCAGGCAGGAUGCAGAGGCCCAUAAAUCAAUAUACAAGUCUUCUAAUAGUUUCAAUUGAAAUCACUUGAAGACUUCUUCUCUUAGGGAACAGAGCUAGACUGAGGAGCCGGCCAUAGCUUUACAGGUGUAGGGAAAACACUGGUCUGCUGUUGCAUUAACAAAAUAAUGAACAGCAGCAGCAUCUCUCCAUCAGAUGGCUGUUGAAGAUGUUUUGUCUAAUUGAAUAGCAUUAAAGUUUCCCUGAAAGAGACACAGUAUAAUCCUGCAUAAUACUGCUACGCAAGUCAGCGUGCCAUAGGCCAACCACAUCACAUGUACAUUGUGCUGUACUUCAGUAAUGGUGGUAGUGGCAGUCAGCACAGUGGUAAUCAUCAUGUCAGAAUCACUUCCUUAGUCUUGUGACUGUCUCAGUUGUCUGUAGUUCCUGUUGUUGGUUGGUCAGACAGACAGACAGCAGAAUCUCGAGCCUUCUUAAAAAUGUUCCAUUUGGUUUUGCAUGUCUGCAAAGGGAUGGUCACAUCUUCUCUGUGUACUUUGCUACUGUGGGUUUCAUUUUUUCAUUUGGUUCACACACGCAGCCACCCAAUGCCACACUCUUAUGUUGCCUGGUGCUGAAUUGCUUCAUGGCAACCUGUGUGCAUGCUCUCAAUAGCAGCAUUGAAGAUGUUGCGAUUGCUGUUUCUGUGUUUGAUUGUGACUCUGCAAGGAGCUGCUGCUUCCUCAGAAGAGAGUGAAGGAUCAGCAGACGUAGCAGACGGAGACGAUGAAGAUCUAUUCAAGCAAAACGUGAUCCCAAAUCUCAGGAAUGAUUACGUGGUUAUCGAACCUGAAACAAAUGAUAUUGUGGACACAAACAAGGCAACAGGAGAAAAAGUAGGGGAAGAUGGAUUUACUACCAUUGUCAUCAUCGUAGCCGUGAGUGUGGUGGCACUGUCAAUCGCAGUGAUAGUAGCCAUAGUGCUGGUCCGGCGCCGCAUGCACAACCGACCACAAGGGAUCUACUCAGUGCCUACAGAACAGGGAAUGAAAGGAACGGUCUAACCACAAGAUGAGCUCCAGUCCAAUUGGACACCUGCAGGGGAGGAGCUCUACAACACACUGACCUUUGACUCAGGAAGGGAACACUUUCCACCCCAGCCUGCUCUUACUGAACCACUCCCUACUGCUCUCCUCUCUGGGACCAUCUGUUACUGUGUCAUGGGUCCCCUCCAAAGCCAGUGUAACUUAGUUUCCUAUAUUUGGUCUGUUGUUCAUUUUUGUGCCACAUAUCUCAAUGUAUGUGUGUAUAUUUAAAAGGGCAUUCUGCAGUUGCUAAAUCCAUUUCUGGAUGUACUCAUUGAUUCUUGAAUAAUAUAUAUGCCUCAGUUCAACUGUCGUGCCCCAUCAGAACCCAAAACAUAAGCUUGUUUUAUGCCAAUGUUAGCAAACAAAGUAUGUUUAAACAAAUGCUAUAUAGCCUCAAAACAUGGUUAAAACUAUGAUUUUGAUAUCACGGAUAGUCAGUCUUUGCAUCCAUAGCUCAUAGCCUAUGAAUUUGAGAAUGGUUAUAUUUCUCUGGCCCCAUCCCUCAGUUUUUUACCAAAAUAGGGAGAGAACGCUUUAUUGUUUCAACUACGGAUUAUCCCUUUAUGCUUGGGACACAUAGCAACAUUUGGAACCUAAGUUUUGUCAUUGGAUUCUAUUGAAAAACCCUGAAGCCAAUGAAUGUGACCAAAUGUGACAAACUCCUUUUGUCCAAUGGCAUAUUUUUCAAGAAAAACAAGUAUUGCUAAAAGUCAUUUGCAAUUGUUCCGACAGGUUUCUCCGCUCCUUCACUAAACUAAACUGUAUUCAGAGUUGAUUUGGUGCAUUCAGAACAGGCUUUUUUUGCAUGAGAAAAACAAGUUUAAUCCACCCUAAACCAACCCAGUCCUCUCUAAAUUUCCCCAUUCAACUCUGUGACAUAUCCUGUCCUUGGCCUCUUAGUGACAACAGAAAAUACAGUUGAAAGAUAAAACUCUCCCAUCUUCUCAACCUCUGAAGGGGAAAAAAGGAAAAAAAAUGGGUGGAAAAAGCCAGUCAGGUCUGUUUGAACAUUCACUUGAGGUGGAGAAUUAAUCAACUUUAGUGAAUGAUGUUUUCUUUUCAACUCCCCCCAUUCUCUUUUUCUUUUUGAAAUGCUUUUGUUCAAAACGUCAACCACAUCACCGAUUGUAAAUUGCUCUCGGAUGGCUGAGGAAAGUCUGAUUUGAAUGGUUUAUA
rnacentral:lncRNA from 1 species